rfam:Streptomyces cattleya DSM 46488, complete genome.
GCCCCCGUAGCUCAGCGGAUAGAGCAGGUGCCUUCUAAGCACUUGGCCGCAGGUUCGAGUCCUGCCGGGGGCA